UACGGGGGGCAAGCGUUGUUCGGAAUUACUGGCGUAAAGGGCUCGUAGGCGGCCAACUAAGUCGGAUGUGAAAUCCCCAGGCUCAACCUGGGAACUGCAUCCGAUACUGGAUGGCUUGAAUCCGGGAGAGGGAUGCAGAAUUCCAGGUGUAGCGGUGAAAUGACGUAGAUAUCUGGAGGAAUACCGGUGGCGAAGGCGGCAUCCUGGACCCGGCAGUGACGCUGAGAGCGAAAGCCAGG
rnacentral:rRNA from 1 species